rnacentral:ncRNA from 2 species
GGUCAUGAGCGUCAACACCAAGCCCUGGCUCGCUGACCGGCAACCCUCGCAUCGCGGUGGGGUGCCCCAGGUGACGACCGGACCGGAACGACGUAUUUCGGUAAGCGCGAGGG